CGCAAAUAGAGAUCGGGUUCAAUGCGUCGGGUGUGGGAUUCACUCAAUAUUAUAUGCUGAGCGCGAAAGUUGAUAUCAACAGACGCCAUGAUGUGAUACCGGUAAACAUCUUGAACAUGAAUCGAGAACAGGAGUUGAUGCAGAUAUUCUGAGGAGAAUCUUCCAAUCAUUGAAAUAUAUUUCAUGAUAGUCGUGAAGAUACAGAAGUUGUGAUGGUGUGUUGAUAGGCUGUCUUCAACUUGCCAUAUCUGAGAGUUCCAACAUGCAGGCCUGGAUUAAUGUGUAUAAAUCACUAAUGAAGUUACUUAGUGUUAUUUAGUUUUUAAAAAUAGAAUGACAUUUCAAUUUAUAUACACUUGCCAAGUGAAUCUGAUGAGACUGCUACAUGUAUUUGUGAGUAAAGGCACUCUGUCUUAACCGAAAAACUAUUUACAGUUUAUCACAACAAAUGGAUGGGACAGUAGAGUUGUUGCGGACAAUAUGUGAUUGUGAUGACCAAGUACUGAACAAGUGGAAGAUUAGAAGAAGGUCCAGAAUUCAAUCAUGUUUUUGAUUCUAAGGCGCAGACAGCAUGGAGAUAGUCCUAUUAUUCUCCCAUUCAUCUAUGAUGGAGAAACUUGUGUAAAUGUUUACAGUGUUCUCCCUAAUAAGUGCUCACAAGUCUGUAUUAAUUUAUCAGAAUAUAAAGUCCUUCAUAGUACUGACUUUAAAAUUCAUGUAGAUUGUCUCCAGAUUUUUCUGAGGAAAAGUGCAUAGUUUACAUGUGUGAAUUUUGAAUAUAUUUCAUUCUUUUCUGCAAAUGUUGCCGAAACCUGUUAUUGAUGCACAUAGUCAUGUUAUGCAAAUGAUAGACCUGACCUUUUUAAUUACAUGUCCUUAAGAUCAUGUCAACUCCUUUGUCUUAAUUGUAUAUACAAUUCUAGCAUUUAUAGCAUCAUUUGUAUAGCACUUGCUAGUUUAAUAAGGAUUUUAUUUUUUUUUUAAAAACUUUCAUUUGACAUGAUUGAUCUAAAACGGCCAAAAUUCACAAAUCUAUUUAAAUCACAACCUGACCUUAGGCCAGAAAAGUGCCACAGUGGGUUGAUAUUUUUCUCUUGGAUCUUGAAAGAAAUUAUUUAUGCAGCAGUUUCCAAAUAAAAUGUACUCUCAUGGCCAGGGUGGGACUUCACCGAGAACUUUUUAACAUUGCACAAUGCAAUAUUUGUGGAUUAGAAGCUGUUGCAGUUUCUUUAACAUGUUUAAGUUUCUCUCACAUCUUGUUAUAAUUAUAUUUUAUAUUUUUGGUCGGGUUACACAAAUUGCAAACAGUUUAUAAAAUGGUGAAUGACUGGUGGGCAAGCGACAAUAGCGUCCGUGUAAUAGUACCUACUUUGUAUAAUCAACUCCUUUCACACCUCUCACUUGAUGUUCCUCAAACUUUGUACAGGUGUUAGGAUUACAUUGAAGAUGUGCGUGUACCUUUUUGAAAGUGAUCAGACAUUUUUUGAAAAAUUUACAUGUAGUUAAACUUCGUCAUUUUUUAAGCAUUUCUUUAAUCGACAGUACCUAUUCUGUGUAAUCAACUCCACGUAUACCUCUAAUUUGACAUUCCUCAAACUGUGUACAGUUGUUAUGAAUACAUUGAAAAUGUGCAUGUGUUUUUUAAAGUGAUCAGACAUUUUAAAUAAAAAAUGUACAUGUAGUUGAACUUAAGUCAUUUUAAAGCAUUUUUUGAAUAGAUGGUAACUAUUUUGUGUAAUCAAAUCCUCAUGCACCUCUAACUUGACAUUCCUUAAACUUUGUACAGUUGUUAUGAACACAUUGAAGAUGUGCAUGCGUCUUUUUGAAAA